UACGUAGGGCGCAAGCGUUAUCCGGAAUUAUUGGGCGUAAAGAGCUCGUAGGCGGUUUGUCGCGUCUGCCGUGAAAGUCCGGGGCUUAACUCCGGAUCUGCGGUGGGUACGGGCAGACUAGAGUGUAGUAGGGGAGACUGGAAUUCCUGGUGUAGCGGUGAAAUGCGCAGAUAUCAGGAGGAACACCGAUGGCGAAGGCAGGUCUCUGGGCUGUAACUGACGCUGAGGAGCGAAAGCAUGGGGAGCGAACAGG
rnacentral:rRNA from 1 species